ensembl:lncRNA
GAUUAUUUUACACAACUCCAUGGAGCUCUUUCUCUCUGGCUCAGAGACAAAGGCUGCUGUGCCUCAGCAGUAAAUGCUUUUUAUUAUGUGUGAUAAACAGGAAACUAAGUUGAUUGGUCAAAAGUUGGGAGGAAAACCACUGUUCUCCUUAUUGUUGUCAAAUAUGACAACAAUGUAUUUGUAUCAAUGAAGACAAAAAUAAAAUGUGUCCUUUUGAAAAGGUAUUUUAUGAGUCCUUUUUCUUUUAUCAUCUGCUUUGUUUACUCGCAUAUCAAACAGUAGCUGAGAUCAAUUCUGGAAAUUAUCAUUAGACCAACUUAAUAUUAAUACUUUAUUCAGGUUAUUGUUUAGGAUCUUAGUAAAUGCUUUGAGCUCAGUCAGAUAUUAGCAGGUCAGACUUGUUAUUUUCUAUUUAGGUAUUUUAAAACGAAGAUAGAUGAAAAACAAAUUUGGUGUUUGGGUUUAGACCAAUAAAAAGGUGACAUGUGACAGACUCAGAGACCAAUUUCAUUUAAUGCUUAAGAGUUUAAUGAUGAAGAUAAUAAGAACAGAAAUGAAUAGUUUUUGUUAUUAAAAGAGACAGUCCGGUCGACUCCAGUUUGUGUCACUUGUUGCUUCAUUCUUUAUGCAGCAAUACAGCAAAAGAAAAUAAGUAAAGAUGUAAAAGGGGAAACUGAUAGUUCAGGGAGUUGGAUGAAAGUAUUUGCUUCUCUGUCUGAUGGACCAUUUUCAUGAAAGACCAGGAAUCAUCUUCUUUUUCAGACCCAGACAAAAUCGGUAUCAGUGGUGAGCGUAUAUAUAUUAUUCGUUCACGUCUUUCCUGUUUACAUACACAAAGAAAACAAUAUUAACUGAAACCACAAGACAUGUAUACUGAGGGAAAUAUUCAGUAUGUUGCAUCAACAAAAUAACCUGUAUACCUUGACAGCACUAUACAAAUGUGUAUUUUGUGUUAAUUUGAUAAAGAAUGGAUAUUGUUAUUAAAUAUUAAGAGAAAGAAAGAAAGUGGUAAAUCAAAAAUCAUAGUUUUUACCCCCAUCGCUUUCUCCAUACCCAUCGCCAUCUAACGCAACGAUAAUUUUUGCGCCAAUACCACAGGAUCCUCUUGUCAACAGCUUGCUCUUCUGAAGACAAGCAAAUUAAACUCUAGUAAAAAUUCAUGAAUUUUCUGUAUCUGUGAAAACAUUUUGUAAUUUUUUUGUAUUUGCAUGGUGUUCUUUCUUUUUUUAUUCUAUGGACACACAAUGAAUUUUCAAAUGUAUACAUUUAAUUGGAUAUUUUAUGAUAUUAAACAUAUAAUUUUAGAUUUAAUUUUCCAUUAUAAUGCAUAAUAUUUAAAUAACACAAGAUUUGUACAACAAACUUUGUAGCACAUUGAUGUGUUGCUGUUCCGUUCAGCGAAACAGAGCUGUGAUUAUUUUAGUGUGAGUUUUUAAACUGUUGACCAACCUUGUGGAUUAUUCUCUGCCCCACUGCUGCCCGAUUUUCUGGAAUAAAAAUUUAAAUUAAAAAGUUAAAAUUAUAUUAGAAAAUCAGAUCUUGACUUUGAUUGUUAAAUUUCCAUUUAUUAUAUUGUACUGUUAUUUUUAUGAAUACAUACAGACAUACACACACAUUAUGUACAAUAUACUUUAAUACUCACGAGCAGUAAUGAUCAGAGGGAUCAUUACACAAAGAAACACAAACACGGUCAGCAGCCUCAUGGUGAUCUUUAAUAUCUCUGUGAAAAACAGAAGACAUCAAGACAUCAUUAAAAAACUAGGAUAGAACAGAUUUUGUAGCAGACCUUCUGGAGAAUAUGUAGAAUAUUUGUAGAGUAGAUUUCAUUUCAGCACCGACCGAUAGCUUCAGCC